UGGGGAAUAUUGCACAAUGGGCGAAAGCCUGAUGCAGCCAUGCCGCGUGUGUGAAGAAGGCUCUAGGGUUGUAAAGCACUUUCAGUAGGGAGGAAAUGUUAACGAUUAAUACUCGUUAGCUUUGACGUUACCUACAGAAGAAGCACCGGCAAACUCCGUGCCAGCAGCCGCGGUAAUACGGAGGGUGCGAGCGUUAAUCGGAAUUACUGGGCGUAAAGCGCGCGUAGGUGGUUUGAUAAGCUAGCUGUGAAAGCCCCGGGCUCAACCUGGGAACUGCAGUUAGAACUGUCUGACUAGAGUACAGUAGAGGGUGGCGGAAUUUCCUGUGUAGCGGUGAAAUGCGUAGAUAUAGGAAGGAACAUCAGUGGCGAAGGCGGCCACCUGGACUGAUACUGACACUGAGGUGCGAAAGCGUGGGGAGCAAACAGG
rnacentral:rRNA from 1 species